UACGUAGGGUGCAAGCGUUGUCCGGAAUUAUUGGGCGCAAAGAGCUCGUAGGCGGUCUGUCACGUCGGCUGUGAAAACCUGGGGCUCAACUCCGGGCCUGCAGCCGAUACGGGCAGACUAGAGUUCGGCAGGGGAGACUGGAAUUCCUGGUGUAGCGGUGAAAUGCGCAGAUAUCAGGAGGAACACCGGUGGCGAAGGCGGGUCUCUGGGCCGAAACUGACGCUGAGGAGCGAAAGCGUGGGGAGCAAACAGG
rnacentral:rRNA from 1 species